GCAGUCGCCGCGGUAAUACGUAGGUGGCAAGCGUUGUCCGGAAUUAUUGGGCGUAAAGGGCUCGCAGGCGGUUUCUUAAGUCUGAUGUGAAAGCCCCCGGCUCAACCGGGGAGGGUCAUUGGAAACUGGGAAACUUGAGUGCAGAAGAGGAGAGUGGAAUUCCACGUGUAGCGGUGAAAUGCGUAGAGAUGUGGAGGAACACCAGUGGCGAAGGCGACUCUCUGGUCUGUAACUGACGCUGAGGAGCGAAAGCGUGGGGAGCAAGCAGGAUUAGAUACCCGCGUAGUCCCUGUCUCUUAUAC
rnacentral:rRNA from 1 species